AUCAUCGUUAUGUUCAGGUUUUCUUUUAUCUUGGUAAUCUCCUGUACUUUUGUCAGAGGAUCAAUUAGGAUGUAAGUGUGUUUUGUAAUAUAUCAUUUAUGUAGUACAAUCUUGGGAACUCGAUAAGCAUGUACAUGAAAUUAGCAGAGCUAAAACAAUACCUUUGAAGCUAGAUUAGAGCAGCAAUUAUUAUGACAAUAGAAUAGUUUUUCACUGCUAUAUGGGAUCAUUCAAGGAUUGAAAUUAUAGUUUCUCUUGAUAAAUUCCUGAACUAUUGGAAUAGAUGACAUGUUUUAUUGACAAGGUUUAAAUAGAGCUUAUGUGGAUGUUUUUCUUGGUAACAUAGAAAUUGUUUGUCUUUUAUAUUGAAACUGGGAUUGUCAUAGUUGCAACACAAGGUCAAAGUUUUAUGAUCAUGAGAAGCAGAUGCAAGGGAGUAUUGGAUAAUACUGUAGUUUAGAAUCUAUAAAAGACAGUAGAAAUUGAAGUAUUAGUAGUAGGGAUUGGGCAAGCCUUUACUUUUCUGUAAAGAAAUUAGAAAGGCUGAUGAUACUACAACUUUAUUUUAUUGUUUUAUCUUUUAUAUAGGAAUGAUGGCACUUACUAACAUUUGAACAGUUCAUUAAGACACAAAUUGUGGUUCUGAAGCCAGAAUAGCACGUAGUAUCAUUAACCCGAAGAUUGGUUACUUGUAGAUUUCUAUCCUAGGAGUAUGAAGAGAAGAUUUAUUCCAUGACAAAAGGAGGACAAGUAUCAGCAUACUCAUCCAUAAGCACCGAUAAUUAGUGGAUGCAGAUAAGACCUCAGCUUCUAGGCACUAGUGAGGAGGAAACAUUAAUGAAUUACCACAAGAUGGUUUAGGAGGUCAAUGCGUGACAAUGAGAGAUCUAAGAUUGAUGAUGGGAUGGAUCUGAGGACAAGUUGAUGUAGGUCAAUAGGUGUUUUUGCAAUUUUUCUUUAUUUUAGCUGGCUUUGUGUAUUCUGCGUGGUGCAAUA